UGACGGUACCUAACCAGAAAGCCACGGCUAACUACGUGCCAGCAGCCGCGGUAAUACGUAGGUGGCAAGCGUUGUCCGGAAUUAUUGGGCGUAAAGCGCGCGCAGGCGGUCCUUUAAGUCUGAUGUGAAAGCCCACGGCUCAACCGUGGAAGGUCAUUGGAAACUGGGGGACUUGAGUACAGAAGAGAAGAGUGGAAUUCCACGUGUAGCGGUGAAAUGCGUAGAGAUGUGGAGGAACACCAGUGGCGAAGGCGACUCUUUGGUCUGUAACUGACGCUGAGGCGCGAAAGCGUGGGGAGCAAACAGGAUUAGAUACCCUGGUAGUCCACGCCGUAAACGAUGAGUGCUAAGUGUUAGAGGGUUUCCGCCCUUUAGUGCUGCAGCAAACGCAUUAAGCACUCCGCCUGGGGAGUACGGCCGCAAGGCUGAAACUCAAAGGAAUUGACGG
rnacentral:rRNA from 1 species